CGUGGGGGCCAAGCGUUGUCCGGAUUUAUUGGGCGUAAAGAGCUCGUAGGCGGUUCGGUAAGUCAGCUGUGAAAUCUCCACGCUCAACGUGGAGGGGUCAGCUGAUACUGCCGUGACUUGAGUCUGGUAGGGGAGUGCGGAAUUCCCGGUGUAGCGGUGAAAUGCGCAGAUAUCGGGAGGAACACCAGUGGCGAAGGCGGCACUCUGGGCCAGUACUGACGCUGAGGAGCGAAAGCGUGGGGAGCGAACAGGAUUAGAUACCCUGGUAGUCCACGCCGUAAACGUUGGGCACUAGGUGUGGGACUCUAUCGACGGGUUCCGUGCCGUAGCUAACGCAUUAAGUGCCCCGCCUGGGGAGUACGGCCGCAAGGCUA
rnacentral:rRNA from 1 species